GAUGAAGAACGUAGCGAAAUGCGAUAAGUAAUGUGAAUUGCAGAAUUCAGUGAAUCAUCGAAUCUUUGAACGCACAUUGCGCCCGCCAGCACUCUGGCGGGCAUGCCUGUUCGAGCGUCAUUUCAACCAUCAAGCCCCCAGGGGCUUGUGCUGGGGCCCUGCGGCUGCCCGCAGGCCCUGAAAACCAGUGGCGGGCUCGCUAGUCACACCGAGCGCAGUAGCACAUCUCGCUCAGGGCGUGCGGCGGGCUCCUGCCGUGAAACCCCCCACUGUAACCCCAAAGGUUGACCUCGGAUCAGGUAGGAAUACCCGCUGAACUUAAGCAUAUCAAUAAGCGGAAGA
rnacentral:misc_RNA from 1 species